rnacentral:tRNA from 1 species
GCCUGGAUGGCUCAGUCAGUUAAGCGUCUGACUUCAACUCAGGUCAUGAUCUCACGGUUCGUGAGUUCAAGCCCCACAUCAGGCU